CCAGACCCCUACGGGAGGCAGCAGUGGGGAAUUUUGGACAAUGGGCGCAAGCCUGAUCCAGCUAUUCCGCGUGUGGGAUGACGGCCCUCGGGUUGUAAACCACUUUCGUAGAGAACGAAAAGGAGCUAUCGAAUAAAUAGCUCUGCUGACGGUACUCUAAGAAUAAGCACCGGCUAACUACGUGCCAGCAGCCGCGGUAAUACGUAGGGUGCGAGCGUUAUCCGGAUUUAUUGGGUUGAAAGGGUGCGUAGGCGGGCAUUUAAGCCGGCGGUAAAAUGUCGGGGCUCAACCCCGGCCUGCCGUCGGAACUGGGUGCCUUGAGUGGGCGAGAAGUAUGCGGAAUGCGUGGUGUAGCGGUGAAAUGCAUAGAUAUCACGCAGAACCCCGAUUGCGAAGGCAGCAUACCGGCGCCCUACUGACGCUGAGGCACGAAAGUGCGGGUAUCGAACAGGAUUAGAUACCCUUGUA
rnacentral:rRNA from 1 species